rnacentral:rRNA from 1 species
CGAAGGGGGCGAGCGUUGUUCGGAUUUACUGGGCGUAAAGGGCGCGCAGGCGGCUUUUCAAGUCAGGCGUGAAAGCCCCGGGCUUAACCUGGGAACUGCGUCUGGGACUGGAGGGCUAGAGUUCGGGAGAGGAGAGUGGAAUUCCCAGUGUAGAGGUGAAAUUCGUAGAUAUUGGGAAGAACACCGGUGGCGAAGGCGGCUCUCUGGACCGAGACUGACGCUGAGGCGCGAAAGCGUGGGGAGCAAACAGGAUUAGAUACCCUGGUAGUCCACGCUGUAAACGAUGUGUGCUAGACGUUGGGGAGCCUAGCUCUUCGGUGUCGCAGCUAACGCGGUAAGCACACCGCCUGGGGAGUACGGCCGCAAGGUUA